rnacentral:rRNA from 1 species
UACGUAGGGGGCGAGCGUUGUCCGGAAUUACUGGGCGUAAAGGGCUCGUAGGCGGCCAACUAAGUCAGACGUGAAAUCCCUCGGCUUAACCGGGGAACUGCGUCUGAUACUGGAUGGCUUGAGUUUGGGAGAGGGAUGCGGAAUUCCAGGUGUAGCGGUGAAAUGCGUAGAUAUCUGGAGGAACACCGGUGGCGAAGGCGGCAUCCUGGACCAAUACUGACGCUGAUGAGCGAAAGCCAGGGGAGCAAACGGG